rnacentral:rRNA from 1 species
CGGCGUGCUUAACACAUGCAAGUCGAACGGAAAGGCCCUGCUUUUGUGGGGUGCUCGAGUGGCGAACGGGUGAGUAACACGUGAGUAACCUGCCCUUGACUUUGGGAUAACUUCAGGAAACUGGGGCUAAUACCGGAUAGGAGCUCCUGCUGCGUGGUGGGGGUUGGAAAGUUUCGGCGGUUGGGGAUGGACUCGCGGCUUAUCAGCUUGUUGGUGGGGUAGUGGCUUACCAAGGCUUUGACGGGUAGCCGGCCUGAGAGGGUGACCGGCCACAUUGGGACUGAGAUACGGCCCAGACUCCUACGGGAGGCAGCAGUGGGGAAUAUUGCACAAUGGGCGGAAGCCUGAUGCAGCAACGCCGCGUGCGGGAUGACGGCCUUCGGGUUGUAAACCGCUUUCGCCUGUGACGAAGCGUGAGUGACGGUAAUGGGUAAAGAAGCACCGGCUAACUACGUGCCAGCAGCCGCGGUGAUACGUAGGGUGCGAGCGUUGUCCGGAUUUAUUGGGCGUAAAGGGCUCGUAGGUGGUUGAUCGCGUCGGAAGUGUAAUCUUGGGGCUUAACCCUGAGCGUGCUUUCGAUACGGGUUGACUUGAGGAAGGUAGGGGAGAAUGGAAUUCCUGGUGGAGCGGUGGAAUGCGCAGAUAUCAGGAGGAACACCAGUGGCGAAGGCGGUUCUCUGGGCCUUUCCUGACGCUGAGGAGCGAAAGCGUGGGGAGCGAACAGGCUUAGAUACCCUGGUAGUCCACGCUGUAAACGGUGGGUACUAGGUGUGGGGUCCAUUCCACGGGUUCCGUGCCGUAGCUAACGCUUUAAGUACCCCGCCUGGGGAGUACGGCCGCAAGGCUAAAACUCAAAGGAAUUGACGGGGCCCCGCACAAGCGGCGGAGCAUGCGGAUUAAUUCGAUGCAACGCGUAGAACCUUACCUGGGUUUGACAUGGAUCGGGAGUGCUCAGAGAUGGGUGUGCCUCUUUUGGGGUCGGUUCACAGGUGGUGCAUGGCUGUCGUCAGCUCGUGUCGUGAGAUGUUGGGUUAAGUCCCGCAACGAGCGCAACCCUUGUUCACUGUUGCCAGCACGUUAUGGUGGGGACUCAGUGGAGACCGCCGGGGUCAACUCGGAGGAAGGUGGGGAUGACGUCAAGUCAUCAUGCCCCUUAUGUCCAGGGCUUCACGCAUGCUACAAUGGCUGGUACAGAGAGUGGCGAGCCUGUGAGGGUGAGCGAAUCUCGGAAAGCCGGUCUCAGUUCGGAUUGGGGUCUGCAACUCGACCUCAUGAAGUCGGAGUCGCUAGUAAUCGCAGAUCAGCAACGCUGCGGUGAAUACGUUCCCGGGGCUUGUACACACCGCCCGUCAAGUCAUGAAAGUUGGUAACACCCGAAGCCGGUGGCCUAACCGUUGUGGGGGAGCCGUCGAGGGUGGGACUGGUGAUUAGGACUAAGUCAU